GUAAUACGGAAGGUCCGGGCGUUAUCCGGAUUUAUUGGGUUUAAAGGGAGCGUAGGCCGGAGAUUAAGCGUGUUGUGAAAUGUAGAUGCUCAACGUCUGCACUGCAGCGCGAACUGAUUUCCUUGAGUACGCACAAAGUGGGCGGAAUUCGUGGUGUAGCGGUGAAAUGCUUAGAUAUCACGAAGAACUCCGAUUGCGAAGGCAGCUCACUGGAGCGCAACUGACGCUGAAGCUCGAAAGUGCGGGUAUCGAACAGGAUUAGAUACCCUGGUAGUCCGCACGGUAAACGAUGGAUGCCCGCUGUUGGUCUGAACAGGUCAGCGGCCAAGCGAAAGCAUUAAGCAUCCCACCUGGGGAGUACGCCGGCAACGGUGAAACUCAAAGGAAUUGACGGGGGCCCGCACAAGCGGAGGAACAUGUGGUUUAAUUCGAUGAUACGCGAGGAACCUUACCCGGGCUUGAAUUGCAGAGGAAGGAUUUGGAGACAAUGACGCCCUUCGGGGCCUCUGUGAAGGUGCUGCAUGGUUGUCGUCAGCUCGUGCCGUGAGGUGUCGGCUUAAGUGCCAUAACGAGCGCAACCCCUCUCCUUAGUUGCCAUCAGGUUAAGCUGGGCACUCUGGGGACACUGCCACCGUAAGGUGUGAGGAAGGUGGGGAUGACGUCAAAUCAGCACGGCCCUUACGUCCGGGGCUACACACGUGUUACAAUGGCAGGUACAGAGAGAUGGUGUUCUGCAAAGCGCAUCAAAUCCUUAAAGCCUGUCUCAGUUCGGACUGGGGUCUGCAACCCGACCCCACGAAGCUGGAUUCGCUAGUAAUCGCGCAUCAGCCAUGGCGCGGUGAAUACGUUCCCGGGCCUUGCACACACCG
rnacentral:rRNA from 1 species